rnacentral:tRNA from 1 species
UCUAAUAUGGCAGAAAAAUGCAUUGGCCUUAAAAUCCAUAAAUAAAGAUAAUUCUUUUUUUAGAA